rnacentral:rRNA from 1 species
UGAGGAAUAUUGGUCAAUGGGCGGGAGCCUGAACCAGCCAUGCCGCGUGAAGGCGAGUGCCCUACGGGCGUUAAACUUCUUUUGUGCGGGAGCAAUAAGGGCCACGCGUGGCCCGAUGAGAGUACCGCACGAAUAAGCAUCGGCUAACUCCGUGCCAGCAGCCGCGGUAAUACGGGGGAUGCGAGCGUUAUCCGGAUUUAUUGGGUUUAAAGGGUGCGUAGGCGGCGCUUCAGGUCAGCGGUGAAAUACCGGGGCUCAACCCCGGGGCUGCCGUUGAAACCGGAGCGCUAGAAUUCCGAUGCC